UAGAUAGCGUCAUCAUUUGAGGGGUGAUGGGAUCUCUUUUCCACCUUCGGACGCCUCUUUUGCAAAAGACGACAGAGUGACAAGGCCUUCCUCAUGUCUAUAUUUCUAACCCGAGGUAACCUCAGGUCCUCUUGCUGUCUUCUCUGGCACGGUGCGUUUUGUCAGAGGUCGCAAUAGUAGUGGAUUCUGGCGAGAUGAGGACAGAUUUCUACUCCCUACACCAGCAAACAUGCACACAGUUUGGAAUGGCCUUCAGUAUACAUGGCUGCUGUCUUGGCUUGCAUUGAUGUCUAAAUGCCGUUGGAGUCUACGUUCUUUUCCGUGGUGCUCAGAAAUUAUAUAUUUGCUCCAACUGUGUAGACACAUCAUAGUUCCCAGUGAAGAUCCCCCUACAGUGGAUUCCAGGAUCCCACUGCAAGGUUUGAGUGUGACCAUGGGGAAGAACAGCUAAACACCUCUCCCUGCCGCCAAGCUGGUCUCGAUCAUCCAAGAUCAGUGGACGAGCAGAGCCUGAUGAGUACCCUUUACUGACUUCGCUGUUGAGUGAGUACCCUUGACUGACUUCCCUGCCUGCCCUCUCAGACUAAGACAGGGCCACUGCCCCAGCUCAGCUUGCAAGCCAAAUCCUGUCUUAAAAGCAGCCAAAGGACUUCAGUUACUCUGUACUUACCUAUUAGCAAUAUCGUCUAUUUUGGCACAAAUAUAAUUAACAGUGGUGUGUGUGUGUGCAAAUUUACACCACCAAGAAGCCCCUCUUCUUGUUUGCCUCGGCUACAUGUUUAGAUAAAACAGAUUCCUCUAUAUUUGGCUGAUAUUAUUUCUGUGGUUUGACAUGCCCAGCUGGCAAGAACAAGUCAUUUUGGGGGAUUAAAUUCAGUAGAGUAUCCAGGCAAGUGCCAGGGGACCCAAAGUCCUUAAUGGAACGUUGGCAGACAAGACACCACUAAUUGUAGAGCAGGUACAAUGGGAGUGGGAGGCUGGUUCUGCAAGGAGCUGUAAUCUUCUCUCUCCUUCUUCUUCCCAGCAGUGCUGAAACUGAACUAGUAUCUAAAUUAGGUGUUAUUUCAGAUUACAACUUGUCACACUUAAUACAAGUGACACCAUCAAGUGAUUACCAUCGAGUGAUUACCAUCGAGUGAUACCAACUCGAAAUUUGUUGGUAUCCAGGGACAGCGAUUGUUGGCCCAUAUAAUCCUUCAACCAGUCACAGAAUAACAGGAGAUCAUUGUAGCAGAAACAAAGCCACCUAGCUAGAGGCUGUCUUUUCCUGUUCCCUCCAGCAAGUUGUGAUCACAGGACUAUGCUAUGUCCAAUGAAGGAUGAGCAAAGUUGCUGGAUGUUACUCAUGUAACUUACAGUUUCUGCUUCUCAUGAGCAGAAAGGGUGACAGAAGAGUCUUGGCAGGUACAGGAUGGCACAAUACUCUUGUUCUGGAUUGUCUAUCCAAAUGACAGUGGAGAGAAGAAAGAAAGACUUCUUCCUGUCCCCACCCAUGAGAGAGAGAGAGAGAGAGAGAGAGAGAGAGAGAGAGAGAGAGUUAGUUCUUCCUGUCUUUAUUUUAAAAAGCCUUUAUUGUGUGUUCUGACAUUUAGUGAGUAUUCCCAGCAAGGAAUUUGGAAGUGUAUCUUUUUUUACUCACUGUAAUGCACAGAACUGUUUAUUACAAUAAAUGAGAAUUGACCUAAAGGUAAAUCAAGCCUAUGGGUUCAAAGUAGAAGACAAGAGACCCCAGAGAAGAAAGCAACUCCCCAUUUUUCAUCUUUAGCCCUUUUCAUCAGCCUGUGUGUUUUGUCUUUAAUACGUGCCACUUGGACCUUUAUCUUAGUAGGUCAUCUUAAAAGUCUCGCAUGCCAGAUUCAAGAGAAAUAGGACGAUAAGCAUCAACAACAUCUAUUGAUGAAACAGCAGGUUGUCUGUUUUGAUGGGGACAAAUCACCUCUCUUCCCUCCGGGAAGUAUUCUGGUGGAGCUGAAUUCUGCCAGUGGUGGAGCUGCUGGAUCUUAUCAGAGCCACUGGGCCAAUCUCUGCUGAGGGAAGAAAAUCGUAUUUUUGUUCAGUGAUGGCUGAAUAAGAAGAAAAUAAUCGGAAUAAAUAUCCAGUUAUAUUCCAUUUAAAGGGAUGUAAAAAAUGGAGAGGAUGGAGACCUUGCCCUUAAACUCCGUGCUUGGAAGGAAAACUAUAUACAUUUGUAUUUACUUUUCAUAUUCAGGGUUGGGAAUUUGAAGCGCGUUUCAGGACUUAAUAACUGUGUGCUUAUCUAUUCACAAAAGUUGUUUUUCUUUUAAAAAGUUCUCUAACGACUUUGUAUGAAGUGAGAGAAAUCUUGCCCUUCCACUUAGGUACCUUCCCUUCUUCUGUCUCUUUCCUCUUCCUCUAC